rnacentral:rRNA from 1 species
GAACGAGAAAGGGCCGCAAGGCCUGAGUACAGUGGCGCACGGGUGAGUAACACGUGACUAACCUACCCUGGAGCGGGGGAUAACCUAGGGAAACCUGGGCUAAUACCGCAUAACACCCACGGGUCAAAGCGAGCAAUCGCACUUUGGGAGGGGGUCGCGGCAGAUUAGCUAGUUGGUGAGGUAAAGGCUCACCAAGGCGAUGAUCUGUAUCCGGCCUGAGAGGGCGCACGGACACACUGGAACUGAAACACGGUCCAGACUCCUACGGGAGGCAGCAGUGGGGAAUUUUGCGCAAUGGGGGAAACCCUGACGCAGCAACGCCGCGUGGAGGAUGAAAUCCCUUGGGAUGUAAACUCCUUUCGCUCGGGACGAUAAUGACGGUACCGAGAGAAGAAGCCCCGGCUAACUUCGUGC